rnacentral:rRNA from 1 species
UACGUAGGGUGCAAGCGUUGUCCGGAAUUAUUGGGCGUAAAGAGCUCGUAGGCGGUCUGUCGCGUCUGCUGUGAAAACUCAGGGCUUAACCCUGAGCUUGCAGUGGGUACGGGCAGACUAGAGUGCGGUAGGGGAGACUGGAAUUCCUGGUGUAGCGGUGAAAUGCGCAGAUAUCAGGAGGAACACCGGUGGCGAAGGCGGGUCUCUGGGCCGACACUGACACUGAGAGACGAAAGCUAGGGGAGCAAAUGGG